CUUGCUCAAAUUUGCUUACUCGUAGCCAUAUUGCCAAUGCCAGGAUCAAGAUGCCACAUAGCUGCAGGAAAAGAAAAAAACAUAUAUUAGAUCAUAUCGAGUACAUGGG